AACGAACGCUGGCGGCAGGCCUAACACAUGCAAGUCGAGCGCCCUUUCGGGGGAGCGGCGGACGGGUGAGUAACGCGUGGGAAUAUGCCCUUCUCUACGGAAUAGCCUCGGGAAACUGAGAGUAAUACCGUAUACGCCCUGUGGGGGAAAGAUUUAUCGGGGAAGGAUUAGCCCGCGUUGGAUUAGGUAGUUGGUGGGGUAAUGGCCUACCAAGCCGACGAUCCAUAGCUGGUUUGAGAGGAUGAUCAGCCACACUGGGACUGAGACACGGCCCAGACUCCUACGGGAGGCAGCAGUGGGGAAUCUUAGACAAUGGGGGCAACCCUGAUCUAGCCAUGCCGCGUGAGUGAUGAAGGCCUUAGGGUUGUAAAGCUCCUUCAGCUGGGAAGAUAAUGACGGUACCAGCAGAAGAAGCCCCGGCUAACUCCGUG
rnacentral:rRNA from 1 species